rnacentral:tRNA from 1 species
GGAGGAGAGGCGGAUGCCGGUUCGCCGCGGCGGUCUGCUGAACCGCUCCGGACGCCCGUCCGGCGGGAGUUCGACUCUCCCCUCCUCCG